AUCAGUUCGACAUCUAUAGAGAGAUGAAGAAGGAAAAUCGAGAUAACUGGAAGCAACACCACCCGUACACAAAUGUGUUGUGGCUGCACUAUCUUGCAGACAAACUUCUGCACAAGAAGUACAGAGCCACGAAGAUCCACAGGCAGUGGCAGCAGAAGUUCAGAACCUUUCUGAAACAAGUCUUAGCAUGUAGGACAGUAGCACAGGUGUUGGAAGACUGCCAGCUUUUUAAAGAGAAGUCUUAGCAUCAUACAUGUAGGACAGUAGCACAGGUGUUGGAAGACUGCCAGCUUUUUAAAGAGAAGUCUUAGCAUGUACAUGUAGGACAGUAGCACAGGUGUUGCAAGACUGCCAGCUUUUUAAAGAGAAGUCUUAGCAUGUAGGACAGUAGCACAGGUGUUGGAAGACUGCCAGCUUUUUAAAGAGUAAAUUGGGGGUACUCAGAAAUCUGCUUUUCUAUCUGAAAAUGUAUCUAUCUAUGUAUGUAUCUGAAAUUUAAAAAAAGUUAUUUUAAAAGUAUUAAAGUUCAAUCACAUCAGUGUUCUCUAGUAUUCUUGCAUCUAGAUAUUUGUGUAGUGUUAGAUAUGUAUAACACUGUAAUAUUUUUGUCUUUUGUGCUAUGAAUAUUGUCUUAGUCAGAAAGACAAUGGAAUUGACUUUUUAAAGAGAAAUAGCGAGUACUGACUCUGAAAUACUGACUCGUUAAUGCAAUCCUCUGUGCAUAUUAUAUAUAAUAUUUAUAUGCUCAAAUGACUGGGCAUGGCUUGAAAUUCAUUUUGGGUACACUGGUGUACCUAACCUGAAAGCCCAACAUAGAACAAAGUAGGUAACUCCUGAGUAUGUAUCUGAGUAUGUAUGUGAAAUUUAAAAAAAAUUAUUUUAAAAGUAAUAAAGUUUAAUCACAUGUUCUCUAGUAUUCUUGCAUCUAGAUAUUUGUACCUAACCUGAAAGCCCAACAUAGAACAAAGUAGGUAACAUAAUAAGUAAAUCUGUAUGUAUGCAUCUAUCUAAGUAUGUAUCUGAAAUUUAUUUUAAAAAAGUUAUUUUAAAAGUAAUAAAGUUCAAUCACA